UACGGAGGGGGCUAGCGUUGUUCGGAAUUACUGGGCGUAAAGCGCGCGUAGGCGGACCUGCAAGUCGGGGGUGAAAGCCCGAGGCUCAACCUCGGAACUGCCUUCGAUACUGCGGGUCUCGAGUCCGGGAGAGGUGAGUGGAAUUCCUAGUGUAGAGGUGAAAUUCGUAGAUAUUCGCAAGAACACCAGUGGCGAAGGCGGCUCACUGGCCCGGUACUGACGCUGAGGUGCGAAAGCGUGGGGAGCAAACAGG
rnacentral:rRNA from 1 species